UUGCAUUAUUAUCGCCGAGCUAAACGCAAUACUCCAUCUCCAAUUUCUCAUUGACUGUUUACAGAUUCAUCAAUGUUUCAACGUUCCAUAUUGAAUUGGUAGAGCCUUUAGGAUGGAGGCCUAUAUUUAGAGAGAGUAUUACGACGGAUGGCUGAGCGUAACUGGAGCCAUCCUUAGUGUAGUCGUCGUGUGUUUGAGAAAUUGGCCAACCACGCUCUUCACGUUUGGCUACAUGUUUUCUUAUUCGCAUUUUUUAUCAUCUAUUCCAAACCCGGAUAUCAUCGACGGGAGCUCAGACUUACAAAGCAGCGCUAAACAGCGUACGAAAACUGAUGCACAGUGAAGAAAGAGUGCAAAAAACUAUUGACCCUAAAUUCCACUGUUUGAGGUGCUUUAUUUUUGCCACAUUUUCUUCGACUGGUGAAUUCAACCAUAUUUUUGCAGUUUGGAACGUAAUAAAAAUAGAA